rnacentral:rRNA from 1 species
UACGGAGGGGACUAGCGUUGUUCGGAAUUACUGGGCGUAAAGCGCACGUAGGCGGAUUUGUAAGUCAGGGGUGAAAUCCCGGGGCUCAACCUCGGAACUGCCUUUGAUACUGCAAAUCUCGAGUCCGGAAGAGGUGAGUGGAAUUCCUAGUGUAGAGGUGAAAUUCGUAGAUAUCGGGAGGAACACCUGUGGCGAAGGCGGCCACCUGGACAACAACUGACGCUGAGACGCGAAAGCGUGGGUAGCAAACAGG